CUCACUAUCUCUCUCCCAUCGUCAACAACCAGGGGAAAUCCUUUCCCAUCACUACUGUAGCUUGUUUUUCUCUCUCGGCUCUCUAGAGAGAGAAAGUAGAUCUAAAAUCAAUUCAUCCCCUCCCCCUUCUCCGACUUCCCGAUCUAGAUCAUUCCGGCCUCCCCCUUUUCAUGUCGCAAACUUUCAAAAGGAGGGUUGGCAGCUGGCGGAGCAAUUGGAAGCGUUGUUAGGAAUCUCAGUUGUCUUUUGUGUUCUCUCUACAUCCCAGUUCUCUCUCUUACUCGUCCUGUUCAUCUCCCCACCAUCUGAACCGCUGCACCACCAACCUUCUCCGAUUGCCGGCGACCGCCAACGAUUACUGGUGAUCACCAUCUAUCUCCAGUGACCACCAUCGAUAAUCGGUGACCACCGAUGCAUUACCCCUCCUCAAUCGAUCGUCCAAUUUCAAUCCGUCAGGUCCCCAAUCUGACAAUCUGUGCUUAGGCACCGAAUCAGAACCUGAAAAAGAAAAAGAAUCACCCAAACACUCAGAUCGUUUUGAGGUUAUUCACAGUCCAAGUUUUGAGGUGCUUCCUGAGGCCAUCGGAAUCGUUCAGCCAAACUAAGGAUGUGAAUUGAUUGAGAUUGAGGACCCGAAAAGAUGACCCGCCUAUUUCAUUUCUUUCGAAUUUCCUCUCUUUCCCUAUAUUCCACACCAACUUAGCCUCCGCCUAGAGAGAGGAAGCUUCCACCUUUCAAAUCAAACUCGGAGAAAUCAAGGAUGACAAAAUAAAGAAAUUGAAGAGGACGAGACGUUUUGGAUUAUGAGGUUAAUUGAUCAGCUUGAUAGGUGACUAGAGCUAGCUAGCGAGAAGUAUCCCACAAGCCAUUAUACUCUAGUAAAAUAUGAUCCUGCAUUCAUAAUGCAUUUGCUUCAAAGUGUAUCAGACUCAGCCGCCAUUCUUCAACUGCGUUACUGAUUUUGUUUCAGGUUUUCUCAUUUAGAGGAAUAAGAAACGUCUUUUUCUUUGUUCCUUCUAUUUGUUCAGUUUAUUUGGUUGCAUUUUUUUAUUUACUUUGAUGUUCAAUUUAUGUGUUCCAUAUUGAUUUUGAAUAUCCUUUUGGACUUAUUUUGGCACAAUUUCUCAUCCAUAUUUUAAAAGUGAAAGUAAGUAUAAAGCAUUAAGUUUCACUAUACACAAGCAAGUCCAGCUUUUAUUUGAUUGGAUGGGACUUGCACGACUUUGGGGUGGUUCAAUGCCAAUUAUUCAGCAUGCUUUGCAGGCAGUUAAGGAAGGUGGUAAGCAUGUAUCAUUUAUAGACAAUUAUGAAAACAAGUAUCAAGAUGCAGAGCAUAAGUGGGUAAGUGAGGUUAAACGAGUGAGACAUGUAAGUUUUCGAUCAAUAUCUUUGUUCAAAUACAUAUAAGCAAGGAACAUAUAUAAGAAACUACACGAACAGUGUCAUUCUUUUUCUUAAUCUUGCCAAUCAAAUUGAAUGAAUACUUUUUAUGUUUGAGAUCUGUUGUUUAAUACUGCUAACGUGUGCUUGUGGUUUCUCUGUCUUACUUAUUCAGGGGCUUGCUUGAGAGCUGGGGAAUUUUCUUCUUGGAAUACACAGUUAUUACACUGUCAGCAUACUUAAAGAUCACAAGUUGGUAGAUUUGGCCAAAUGACAUAUGAUGAUCAGCUGACUUCUCCAAUAAUACCAAGUCUCCAAAUGACAUGAUGAUCAGCUUUCGUAGAAGUAAUUCCUCAAAAGUAAAGCUACAGAUAUUAAUUACUGGAAGGAGGUAAAUUUUCCCAGCAGCCUAGCUCUUAGAGGAUACUACAGGACUGAAAUUGUAUGUUAGAUACAUGAAGCUUUUAUUAGUCCAAGGUGAAUGGGGCUUAGGCAUGCCAGGCCAGACGUUUAAACUCGUUGUUUAAAGGAGAAAAUAUAUGUAAAUGUGGAUUUAUUUUGCUGCAAUUAUGUCUCAAUGUAAUUAUUUAAUAAUGCAUUUGAUAUCCAGCAUUUUGCCAUUCCCUGAA